rnacentral:rRNA from 1 species
CCUACGGGUGGCUGCAGUGGGGAAUAUUGGACAAUGGGGGCAACCCUGAUCCAGCCAUGCCGCGUGUGUGAAGAAGGCCCUCGGGUUGUAAAGCACUUUCAGUGAGGAAGAACGCCUGGUGGUUAAUACCCAUCAGGAAAGACAUCACUCACAGAAGAAGCACCGGCUAACUCCGUUCCAGCAGCCGCGGUAAUACGGAGGGUGCGAGCGUUAAUCGGAAUUACUGGGCGUAAAGCGCGCGUAGGUGGCUUGAUAAGCCGGUUGUGAAAGCCCCGGGCUCAACCUGGGAACGGCAUCCGGAACUGUCAAGCUAGAGUGCAGGAGAGGAAGGUAGAAUUCCCGGUGUAGCGGUGAAAUGCGUAGAGAUCGGGAGGAAUACCAGUGGCGAAGGCGGCCUUCUGGACUGACACUGACACUGAGGUGCGAAAGCGUGGGUAGCAAACAGGAUUAGAUACCCCAGUAGUC